UACGGGGGGAGCAAGCGUUGUUCGGAUUUACUGGGCGUAAAGGGCGCGUAGGCGGCCACCGCAAGUCACUUGUGAAAUCUCCGGGCUUAACCCGGAAAGGUCAACUGAUACUGCGGGGCUAGAGUGCAGAAGGGGCAACUGGAAUUCUCGGUGUAGCGGUGAAAUGCGUAGAUAUCGAGAGGAACACCUGCGGCGAAGGCGGGUUGCUGGGCUGACACUGACGCUGAGGCGCGAAAGCCAGGGGAGCAAACGGG
rnacentral:rRNA from 1 species